UCCGUAGGGGGACCUGCGGAGGGAUCAUUACCGAGUUUACAACUCCCAAACCCCUGUGAACAUACCACUUGUUGCCUCGGCGGAUCAGCCCGCUCCCGGUAAAACGGGACGGCCCGCCAGAGGACCCCUAAACUCUGUUUCUAUAUGUAACUUCUGAGUAAAACCAUAAAUAAAUCAAAACUUUCAACAACGGAUCUCUUGGUUCUGGCAUCGAUGAAGAACGCAGCAAAAUGCGAUAAGUAAUGUGAAUUGCAGAAUUCAGUGAAUCAUCGAAUCUUUGAACGCACAUUGCGCCCGCCAGUAUUCUGGCGGGCAUGCCUGUUCGAGCGUCAUUUCAACCCUCAAGCACAGCUUGGUGUUGGGACUCGCGUUAAUUCGCGUUCCUCAAAUUGAUUGGCGGUCACGUCGAGCUUCCAUAGCGUAGUAGUAAAACCCUCGUUACUGGUAAUCGUCGCGGCCACGCCGUUAAACCCCAACUUCUGAAUGUUGACCUCGGAUCAGGUAGGAAUACCCGCUGAACUUAAGCAUAUCAA
rnacentral:rRNA from 1 species